UCCGAAACAAUUAAUGAGGCUGAAAUACUCGGUGCCCAAUCUUUCCGAACUGAGGAUGAAGUCUUGGAGGGCAGCUCUGAUGAUGAUAUCCCCCUUAUUCAAAAUUAUGCCGAUCAUCAAGUCGGUGAAUGCCAACAAAUUCUACGGCGCAACAAAGCUGCGAAGGAAGUGGCCAAAAUUGUUCUCAGCGAGAGAAGAGGAACAGGGUCAAUAGUCUGGGACUAUUUUGGCACUUUGACCCUCCGCGGGAAGUCAAUUUUUGAAAAAUACCGUUUCUGCAAAUUAUGUUUCGAAAUGGAGCAUACAACUUUAAAAGGUUUCGCCGUAUCCACCUCAACUUCCAACCACAUUACGCACCUAAGAAGCGUACACGAAAUUGAAUUAAAAACAAAGAAUUCAGAAAUUAGUUUAAAAAAAACCACUGAAGCUCUUUCAGGAUCAUCUUCAAGUAAGAAUAAAAAAAAAGAGGAUGAAAAAUUUGCCAAUGCUAGAAGAAUCGCAGAAAUGUGUUGUUCGGAUCUGCAGGCAUUCAACAUAGUUGAAAGGAAAGGGUUUCAAAAAUAUAUAUCUCAUUUAAAGCCAGAACUGGAAUUUCCCAGAAGCCGAACUAUAGCCACUACAGCGUUGCAGGAUGUAUAUGAAGUCUACUUAGGCAUAGUUAAAACUAUUUUGAAUGAUGCUCCAAAACAAAUUUCGAUAGUGUUAGAUUUGUGGACAGACAAUUACAAAAAAAAAUGCAUACAUAAACAUAAAGGUUCAUUAUUGCAAAAAUUUUGAAAUGGUUUCAGCUUCACUAACAACAGAAUGUUUUUCCCACCCCCAUACCGGCUCACGUAUUGCCGAUACAGUAACAUCAACAUUAAGUAAAUUUAAAAUAAAUGAUAGGGUCAUUCAUGCAGUAAGCGAUGGAGGAUCCAAUAUAAUAUCGGGUUUAAAAAUAUCUAACAUAUUGCGAUACGAGUGCAUGGCGCACUCUCUACAUCGCUUCUUGGUCCACGACAUUCUUGAGCACUACGAAUUUGAAGCAAUUAAACAAACAGUGAAAAAACUUAAAGAAGUGUAUAAAAAAUUAUCAUAUGCCACAGAGGAGUUGGCUUCAAUUCAAAAAGACUAUAAGGACGAUAGUUUAAUUGAUAUGCUUCUACAAAGCAAUGAAAUUGCGGAGUCAUUGCAAUUAGAGGAGGAGUUUGGAUUGUCAAUUGAAAAGCUACAAGAGGAAGGAUCCACCACCUUAAAAAAUUCCAACGAUACCCGUUGGAAUACUCUUCUUUACAUGUUCCGAAGUUUCUCUAAAAAUUAUAAAUAUUGCCUUAAUUAAAGCGGGUAAGGAAGCUUUUAUAUUUAAUGAAAUGGAGAAGAAGCUUAUUAAGGGGUUUAUGGAAUUCUUGGCAAUUUUUGAAAAAGCCACCACAUAUUUACAAGGCCGAAGUUAUCCAACAAUUUGCAGUGCAAUAUUUUUUUACGAAAAUAUUUUAAGCCAGCUCGAAAAUAAUGAAAGCGUGGCUGAAUUUGGAAUAAUGAUUUCGUUAUACAACUUUACGAAAGAAAACUUUAACAAACGUUUUAAAAUAAAAAAAAUUCAUGUUGUCGCCGCGUUGCUGGAUCCGUGCCAACGUAACUGGCCAAUUUUGGACAAUUGGUUAAAAAAAAUUCCAAAGAACAGCCAAAUGGAUUUAAACCAAGUUUUAGAUGUUGAGUACACCGAAGGCCUCUAUAUCACAAAAGAAGAUUUAAUUUAUAAAGAAUUAUUAAAAAUAUUAAAUGACAAUCCCCCAGCUCCCGUUGAGCAUAUUGUUGAACAACCCGGACCUUCAAAAAAAAACCGAAGAUAUCCCAACUUCGAAAGGAAAUGUUAGAUUUUGUGGCAUCAACCAGCACGCAAACAACAAGCCAUUCCAACAUCUCACGGGAAAUAAAAACAUACUUUGAUGCACCACAGGAAGAUUUGGAAUGUUUAGAAUGGUGGAAAAAAAAAUGAAGAGUAUUAUCCCAACUUAUCCAAAUUGGCUAAUUUUUGUUUUGGGAUUCCUGCCACUUCCGCAUCAUCAGAGGAAGCAUUUUCUGUAGCUGGGGCAUGUAUAACCGCCAAGAGAAGCCGACUAAAUCCCUUUACCGUAAAGAGACAACUAUUUGUGCACGAUAACAACCAUUUGGUAGAGCCAAUACUAAAUAUUAAGUAAUUUUCCUAUUAAAAUCCAGACUGUGCCAAUCAAAAGUACUACGAUCUCUUUAAUUUUAUGUUUAUUUUUAUUUAUUAAUUGUUAAAUGAAUAAAACAUUGUUUUUUACGUUUUGUUUAA